GUCUACGGCCAUACCACCCUGAACGCGCCCGAUCUCGUCUGAUCUCGGAAGCUAAGCAGGGUCGGGCCUGGUUAGUACUUGGAUGGGAGACCAAAGGAUACAAACAUGGUGAUUCACAGAGG
rnacentral:rRNA from 1 species